CUGGGGGAGAGAACAACGUGCAAUCCUGGCUGUUCAUUCCUGGCUGGAGGUGCAGCUGAUGCCUGUGACAGGUUGUGUGGGCAUCUGCACUGAAGCGUUCUGGAUUUCAUUGGGCAUGGUGCCUGAUAGUGAUUACAAAAUCUGCUGCUGAAGCAACUCCUAAAGGAGGUGGCAGACCUAUGGUUGUGGAUCCUUUGCACAUAUAAAUGUUAUUGUGUGUGUCUGUUUGACCAUGGUAGGGUAUUUCAUGUAUUAUAGAAACCAGUUUUGUACCUCCAGACUCAAUGUCACUCUCACAAUAGAUCCUUCCUUUCAAACAUAUUUUCUCUCAUUUGAGCCUUUAAAAAAAAGAGGAAAAAAGAAAACUUGAAAAAUUGUAACUUUUUAUGAAAAAUAUACAUGAUUGUCACCUUCUGGGGAAAAGGGGAACUUUUACUGUGUCCGCUGUUGUUUUAAGUGAAAUGUGGUGUACAGCAUGCUAAGUAACUGCUCAGUUAAAUGUCAGUGUGAACCUAGAAAUCCUCAGCAGAGGAAAAAAUAAAUAUUUUUAUUUUCUCUGAAA